CCCGCGCAGACAGAAAAGACUUGCAACAUCCCCUCACAUAUUCCUGCCCUGUACACUCACCCUGCCUUCCACUAGAUAAAUACCAGCUGGCCUGUCAGUUUCUGUGCCUGCUCCAGGCUGUAGGACCUCUCUGCAGCUCCUGAGGUUUCCCUUGGUCCACAUACAGCAUCUCACCAGCUGAGAAAGUACUGGCUUGCUUAAGGGGACUGCAUCAGGUUGAGUGCACAGAUUUCUAAGAGCAUAAGACAAUCAAGAACAUUGUCACCGCAGCCACCUUGCCCUUUCUUUUGUGAAAGGUGCAACAAAACAACUGGGCUUCAUUUCCCCACUUGUGCAACCCAGUCCAAAAGCAAGAGAACUGCAAAUCAAGAAUUCCUUAGAGUAAAUGAUGCAUGAGGAAGGUCUGCAGGACAUGAGACAAGGGCUUAUUUUCACCAUUUCAGCACUG
rnacentral:lncRNA from 1 species